rnacentral:lncRNA from 1 species
UCUAAGGCUUGAUGGAGGUUCGGCCCCUUGGACCUCGACAUUUUUCACGAAGUCGUCCUUUUGACCUUCACCUCUAGCUUCGUUGGUGGAAGUCAUCAGAACAGAAUCUGUAGGAUAUAGAUUGACUGGAAUUGAUCCAAUCAUGAUUUGGACAAAUCGGGAAGUAUUUGUUCUCUUGGGAGUCGGCACAGCUAGGGUGGUUAAGGUGUUCUUG